rnacentral:rRNA from 1 species
AUUGAACGCUAGCGGCAGGCCUAACACAUGCAAGUCGAGCGGAGCGGCGGACGGGUGAGUAAUGCCUAGGAAUCUGCCUGGUAGUGGGGGAUAACGUCCGGAAACGGGCGCUAAUACCGCAUACUAUCAGAUCAGCCUAGGUCGGAUUAGCUAGUUGGUGGGGUAAAGGCCUACCAAGGCGACGAUCCGUAACUGGCCUGAGAGGAUGAUCAGUCACACUGGGACUGAGACACGGACCAGACUCCUACGGGAGGCAGCAGGGGGGAAUAUUGGGCAAUGGGCGAAAGCCUGGUCGAGCCAUGCCGCGUGUGUGAAGAAGGUCUUCGGAUUGUAAAGCACUGUAGGUAGGGAGGCGUUACCAACAGAAUAAGCACCGGCUAACUACGUGCCAGCAGCCGCGGUAAUUC